AUUGAACGCUGGCGGCAUGCUUUACACAUGCAAGUCGAACGGUAACAGGCCUUCGGGUGCUGACGAGUGGCGAACGGGUGAGUAAUGCAUCGGAACGUGCCCAGAGGUGGGGGAUAACGCAGCGAAGGCUGUGCUAAUACCGCAUGUGAUCUGAGGAUGAAAGCGGGGGACCAGGCAGCAAUGUUUGGCCUCGCGCCUUUGGAGCGGCCGAUGUCAGAUUAGGUAGUUGGUGGGGUAAAGGCCUACCAAGCCGACGAUCUGUAGCUGGUCUGAGAGGACGACCAGCCACACUGGGACUGAGACACGGCCCAGACUCCUACGGGAGGCAGCAGUGGGGAAUUUUGGACAAAGGGCGCAAGCCUGAUCCAGCAGUGCCGCGUGCGGGAAGAAGGCCUUCGGGUUGUAAACCGCUUUUGUACGGAACGAAAAGGCUCUGGCUAAUACCUGGGGCUGAUGACGGUACCGUAAGAAUAAGCACCGGCUAACUACGUG
rnacentral:rRNA from 1 species